rnacentral:rRNA from 1 species
GUAGGUGGCAAGCGUUGUCCGGAAUUAUUGGGCGUAAAGCGCGCGCAGGCGGUUCUUUAAGUCUGAUGUGAAAGCCCACGGCUCAACCGUGGAGGGUCAUUGGAAACUGGAGAACUUGAGUACAGAAGAGGAAAGCGGAAUUCCACGUGUAGCGGUGAAAUGCGUAGAGAUGUGGAGGAACACCAGUGGCGAAGGCGGCUUUCUGGUCUGUAACUGACGCUGGGGCGCGAAAGCGUGGGGAGCAAACAGGGAUUAGAUACCCUGGUAGUCCACGCCGUAAACGAUGAGUGCUAAGUGUUAGGGGGUUUCCCGCCCCUUAGUGCUGCAGCUAACGCAUUAAGCACUCCGCCUGGGGAGUACGGCCGCAAGGCUG